GAGUGGCGAACGGGUGAGCAACACGUGGGUAACCUGCCCAUCAGAAGGGGAUAACACUUGGAAACAGGUGCUAAUACCGUAUAACACUAUUUUCCGCAUGGAAGAAAGUUGAAAGGCGCUUUUGCGUCACUGAUGGAUGGACCCGCGGUGCAUUAGCUAGUUGGUGAGGUAACGGCUCACCAAGGCCACGAUGCAUAGCCGACCUGAGAGGGUGAUCGGCCACACUGGGACUGAGACACGGCCCAGACUCCUACGGGAGGCAGCAGUAGGGAAUCUUCGGCAAUGGACGAAAGUCUGACCGAGCAACGCCGCGUGAGUGAAGAAGGUUUUCGGAUCGUAAAACUCUGUUGUUAGAGAAGAACAAGGAUGAGAGUAAAAUGUUCAUCCCUUGACGGUAUCUAACCAGAAAGCCACGGCUAACUACGUGCCAGCAGCCGCGGUAAUACGUAGGUGGCAAGCGUUGUCCGGAUUUAUUGGGCGUAAAGCGAGCGCAGGCGGUUUCUUAAGUCUGAUGUGAAAGCCCCCGGCUCAACCGGGGAGGGUCAUUGGAAACUGGGAGACUUGAGUGCAGAAGAGGAGAGUGGAAUUCCAUGUGUAGCGGUGAAAUGCGUAGAUAUAUGGAGGAACACCAGUGGCGAAGGCGGCUCUCUGGUCUGUAACUGACGCUGAGGCUCGAAAGCGUGGGGAGCGAACAGGAUUAGAUACCCUGGUAGUCCACGCCGUAAACGAUGAGUGCUAAGUGUUGGAGGGUUUCCGCCCUUCAGU
rnacentral:rRNA from 1 species